CAGAAAGAUCAUGAAAAGAUCUAGGCCAGUCUCCAGCACUGCACUUGGGAAAGCGUCAAGGAGUUGAAUGUAUAUGUAAUUGGAGUGCCAGAAGAAGAGAACCGAGAGAGAGGGGCAGAACAGCUCAUGAGGGGAAAACCCACUACAUACAAUCAAGAAUACUGCAGACUCUUCAUCGGAAUCUAUGUAAGUAAGAAAAAAAUGGCCAGGAACUAUAGAGCUGUUCUUUAAAGUACUUAAAAACAUUUUUGCCAACCUAGAAGUCUUUAACCAGCAAAAAUGUCUUCCAAAAAGAAAAAGACUUUUCAGAACAAAUACUGAGCUGAUUCAUUAUUAGCACAUUUGCACUACAUAAGUGUUAAAGAAAAUUUCUUUAGUAAAAGAAAUAUAAUACCAGAAGGAAAAUUUGAUCUAUAAAAAAAGAAAUUAAGAGUCCCAGAAAUAUAUAAAAAUUAUGUAAAAAUUUUUUGUUUUUUCUCCUUAAAAGAUAAUUGAUUAUUUAAAGCAAAAACAAUAAAGUGUUAUAGGAUUUGUGGCACAUGUUAAAUGUAUGCAUUUGAAGUAAAGUGUAUGAUAAUGGUAGUGCAAAGACAGAAGAGAAAAACUGACUUCUCCUGCUGUACAUUCUUUAUACUCUACAUAGAGCUGUGAUAAGUUAAAGAUGUGUAUUGUAAACUCUAGAUGAAAUAAAAAUUUAAAAAAUAAAAAUAAAAUUAAGAAGCAAGAUGGAACAAGUAGAAAACAAAUGGAAAGAUGGUGGAUUUGAUUUUAGUUUUAUCAAUAAUUAUAUAAAUUCAAAUAAUCUAAACCCCCAGAAUUUUUAAAAAUGGGAGAUAAAAAAACAAUAAAUAUUAUGUAUUAUUUGUUAUCAUCAUUAUUUUAUAAAGGGACAGGGCAUAGAUUUGGACAGAAAUGGUAAGUUUUACAAUAAGAAAUGUUACCAGAAUUGCAUAACAUUUCAUGAUGUUAGAAGGGUCAAUUCAACAAGAAGACACAACAAUACCAAAUAUUGCCCAACAAUAGAGCUUUAAAAUAUACAAAGAAGAAAUAUACAACAGAAAAAAGAAAUGGAUAUAUCCCGUUAUUGUUGGAGAUUGUAGAUUCUAACCCAUUUUUUUCAGUAACUAAUAGAAUGAGAUAAGAAACCAGCAAAAGGAUAGAAGAAAAACAAUACUCUUAAUCAGAUUUACCUGAUUGACUUUUCUAAAACAGUCCACUAAACAGCAAUAUAAAAGACAUUGUUAGCAACUGCACAUUUAAAACAUUCACUAAAAUUGAUGAUAAUCUGGGCUAUAUAAACAUGUCUCAGUACAUUAAAAAGAAUAGAAAUCAUACACAGUAUGAUCUCUAAGCACAACUAAAUGAAACUAGAAAUAAAUAAUUUCCAAAUGUUCUGAAAUGAAACAACACACUUCUAAAAAUUCCUGAGUCAAGGAGGAAGUCACAGAUGAACUUAGAAAGUAUUUCAAAGAGAACAAAGAUGAAAACAAAAACAGAAUAUAUCACAAUUUGUAGGAUGCACUUAAAGUAGCCAUUUGGGGAAAUGUGAUAGUAUUACAUGCUUAUAUUACAAUGGGAAAAAUUCUGAAAUUUGUAAAUUUCAAAUCAUUCAUGAUAUGUCAAGUCUUCUCAACUUGUUUUUCUUAAGGACUGUUUUGGCCUUUAUUGUGUAGUUUAUAAGUUCCACAAAAUGUAUUGGGAAUUUAUUGGAAUUUUGUCAAACGUAUAUAAUUUUGUCAAACUCAAGCAUAAUAUAAAUAUGUUUGAGAAUUAACAUUAUUAUAAAAGUGAGACAUUUAGCCUAUGAACAUAGUACAUAUCACCCCUCAUUUUGAUGUUAUUAUUGUACAAAAGUUUUAUAUUAUUGUAUAUAAAGACUUCGUACACUAUUUUUAAAUUUAUUCUUAAAUUUUACACUUUUCAUGAAAUAUGAAGUUAAUCUUAUAAAUUAUUAUUUUUAACAUUAUUGCUGGUG
rnacentral:lncRNA from 1 species